rnacentral:lncRNA from 1 species
UGGUCUCGUCAGGGGAAAAUAAAUUGUUAAAGUUCUAUUGGGACACCCUGUACAGUCGCAGUCUUGUGAUCCCGUAGGAUACACAUUUCAGUCUAACGCCCCGAAGGACGUACAUAUCAGUCUAACGCCCCGAGGGACGUACAUAUCAGUCUAGUGUUCUGCAGAAACACAUAUCAGUCAAAUGCUCCCGAAGGUGCACAAUAAAUUGGUGAUCCCGUGGGACACCUACAAGGUAAACAUCCCAAUACAACCUAACAAUUUAUCCCCUCAUUCCAUUCAACCCAUCUUUCAGUUACUUCAAAU